ensembl:lncRNA novel transcript
UGGCCUCCUUACCCCCAGUGGCAGAAGGGAGGAAGGGAGGUCCCCUGUGGCCUCCCAUCCUUGUGCUCCCAUUAGGGUCAGCAUGAAGCAGGAAUGAGGCUGUCUAUAUCAUCAUGGCAUUCCCAACACUAAACUCUGUGCCCAGGAGAAGUUCUGCAGGCUGUACAGGAAGCAUGAAUUGGAGGCCUCAGGAAACUUACAAUCAUGGAGGAAGGACGAGGGGAGCAAGUACAUCUUGAUAUGGCAGAGCAGGAGAGAGAGAGAAGGGGAAAUACUACGCACUUUUAAACAACCAGAACUCACAAGAACUCACUCAUGAUAGUGAAUCUUAAGAACAGCAAGAAAGAAAUCUGCCCCCACGAUCCAAUCACCUCCUACCAGCCCCUCCUCAGCAUGAGAUUUGGGUGGGGACACAGAGCCAAGCCAUAUCAAUUCCUCAAUACCAGGGUCAGGCUUCCCUGGGAACCAAGUCCAUCAUGGAUCAGGACAGGACCAGGAACACAGCACCCACUGUGUCUGACCAAAGAGCCUCAACUGCCAGACGUCUGUCCAUCCACACCAUUCAAUUAGCACCUACUAUGUGCCAGCCUUAGGUCUAGGGGCUCAAGAAACAGGGUGGACAAGACAGGAAGUGUCCCUGUCCUCAUGGACCAGACACCAUCUGGUGGAAGAGAUGAGACAAUUGAGUAAUAAUAUCAAUACAAUAAGAUGUCAUCACUUAGUGAGGAGAGGAGAGGAGAGCUCAGUAAUGGUGGUAGAGGAGCCAUCAGAGGGUUGGAC